GGCCAUGUCAACCAUAAACCUGUCAGGCCCAGAGAACAACGCUGACCAUCAGUGCCCACAGAGGAACAGCAAGAAGCCAGCAGGAAAGUCCACAAUAUCAUACGAUUACUCGGAGGAAGAGCUCAUGGCAAGCAUUGAGCGGGAAUACUGCCGCUGAACCCAACCCCAUACCACGAGAAUUUCAAACACCUUCCUGGAGGCCCAUCUGAAGCAGAACUGCUGCUGACAUAAUAACCCCUUGCACAGCGAGACAGCACAGGAGAGGUGGGCUGCAGAGGAAUGUGAAACGUGAGGGGCAGUUGUGGCUGCUUGGGAAGCACGGAAGAGAAAGCUCUCCUGACCAACUCUGAGUGAGAGCAUGAAGAUCCUCACCAACUGCUGAUUUCUCAUCAGUGCUGCUGGAAGAGGGACCAAUUCAUCCUGUGAAUCAAUACUUAGAAGCUCAUUUCUAAAUGGUAACCUAGAAGAAAAGUCACUACGUUUUACCAUUAGCUGACUGCAAAGUAAAAUAGAAAGUUGGCUCUCCAAGGAAAAUCAUAUAUUUUCAGUGCUCCCUGACAAGAAAGCCUGAUAUUUUAGGGUUUCUGCCUUUAUUUUACCUGCAUCUUAAUGUAUUAUGACUAGCUGCUUAUUAUCAGAAACAAAAAAUAGCUUAUUCCUGUCUUCAGCUGAAGGAUAGAAGACAUCAGAUGAAGUCAUAUCGUAAAUGCAAGAGGAAACAGCAGGAUACAUCUUGAGAUGCUGCAUUUUAACUUCUUUGUAAUUCCUGGUAUCUAUGAAACAGAAAUAAUGCACCUGUACUCUAUGUAACCCUCAGUAAAAGCAUCAAAUGUUGUUUUGAAAAAGGCUCUCCACCUUGCAUCAUUUUAGAAACUAUGCUCCAGACUGGUACAUGAAGCAUAAGACAGGGUAGCUGAGCACAGGCUUUGAGCUGAUACUGUUAAUCCCCAUUAAUAAAACAGCAAUAGGCUAUGCAUAUUAACCAAAUUACUACAUUAUUAACCUAAAAGACAAAUGCUACACGCCAUGUUUUGCACUGGUCCAAAGGGGAAUCAGAGAGCCUUGUUGGCCAGCUGCCCAUCUAUACAUACCUCCUAUUACUAUUCUUUAAGUGAAGCAAAACCACAAUUGCUGAGAGGACUGAAGAAGGUCAUUUUUUUAGCUAAUCAUGAAAAAUUACUCUUUAGUGCAUGAACAGAUAUUACCACUUCUGAACUUACUUUCAUGAAGUGACUUUCUUGAGUUCUGGA